AAAUAAAAAUUUAUGUUUUUUAAAAUUUAUUAUAAAUUUAUUUUACAUAUAAAUUUUAGUAUUAAUUUUUAAUUAUUUAAAUAAUAUUUAAAUUUUAAGGUAGUAAUUAAUUUUAAAAAUUUAAGAAAUUAAGAUUUAGUAAUAUAAAAAUUAAUAACUAAUUUUGUGCCAGCAGUUGCGGUUAUACAAAAAUUAAAUUAAAUUAUUUCAGUAUAUAAAUAAAUAAAUUUUAGUUAAAAUAAAUAUUAAAUUAUUAGGUGAAAUUUUAAUUUAAUUAAAUUUUAUAAAAAUUUUAUGAUUUAAUAAAUUUUAUUAUAAACUAGGAUUAGAUACCCUAUUAUUAAAAAUUUAAGUUAUAAUACUAAAAUAGUAAAUAUAAGAUAUUGAAACUUAAAUAAUAUGGCGGUAUUUUAGUUCAUUUAGAGGAAUCUGUCUAAUAAUUGAUAAUCCACGAAUUAAUUUACUUAAUUUAUUAUUUUAUAUAUCGUUGUUAAAAAAAUAUUUUUUAUUAAAAAUAAUAUUUUAAAAUUAAAAUAAAAAAUUAAUUCAGAUCAAGAUGUAGAGUAUAAUUAAGAAUAUGAUGGAUUACAAUAAAAUUAUUUAAAUGAAUAAUUAUAUGUAAAAUAAAUUUGAAGGUGGAUUUAAAUGUAAUUUUAUUUAGUUUAAUAAGAUGAUUAAAAAUUAAAAUAUGUACAUAUUGCCCGUCACUUUCAUUUAAAAAUUGAAAUAAGUCGUAACAAAGUAGAGGUACUGGAAAGUGUUUCUAGAAUGAA
rnacentral:ncRNA from 1 species